GCGGGGCGGGGAUGCCGGGCCGCCCGGAGCCCCUCGCUGCGGCUCCCGCGGGCCGCUGCGGGCGUGGGGCAGCCCCUGCCCCUGGCGUGGAGAGCGCCAGCUCCGCCGAGGAGGCAGCUGAGCCGGGGACUCCAGCCGCUUGGGGGACUGAACUGCAGCUACAGAAGCAACAAGUGGACCUUUCAAGAUGCAUAUUGGGCUGCGAGAAAUGAAGGGAGACACUGGAGAGACCAAUGAAGGAAGGAAGAAGCAUGUUUCCUGGGUUUAAUAGGAAAAACUUGCUUUCUGCAAACAACUGAGAAAACUGCCCUUGGAAACUGUUUCUUUGGUCCACAUGGAGCAGCUGGAACUUACACUGUGAGGCCCUUGACGGGAC